UACCAGCACCCCGAGUGGUCGGGACGAUUAUUGGGCCUAAAGCAUCCGUAGCCGGUCCUACAAGUCUUCCGUUAAAUCCACCUGCUUAACAGAUGGGCUGCGGAAGAUACUAUAGGGCUAGGAGGCGGGAGAGGCAAGCGGUACUCAGUGGGUAGGGGUAAAAUCCUCUGAUCCAUUGAAGACCACCAGUGGCGAAGGCGGCUCUCUAGUACGUGACUGACGCUGAGACGCGAAAGCGUGGGGAGCGAACAGG
rnacentral:rRNA from 1 species